GUCAGCUCUGAGCUGAAGGGGAGCCCUGGAAGCUUUCUCCCUGUACUGGUGCCACCCAGUGUUUCAGCUUGGCCCUUGAGUCAUCUUCCUGGCCUCUAGUUCUGUGCCCAGAGCCCCUCCAGGCUGACCGGAGGCUGCUAAAGCCUCCUUAGGCUCAGAGCGAAAGUGUCACAGACCCUGGCUCCACCCAAAGCCUCGUAGGCCUUGUGGAAAGGACUCAGGACCUGCAGCCCAGGCGAGGUCACAGGCCUGUCAACAAAAGCAAGUUAAGCGGGCAGAUGUGGCAGAUGGUGCCGGCUCAGGGAAAUUCAGAAUGAACGGGACAGAGUCACUUGCCUAGGAGAAUAAUUCUCCCAGAAUGAUCACUCAAGGUCCCAAUCCCCAGAGCCUGCCAAUGUGUCAUCAUACAUGGCAAAAGGGACUUUACAGAUGUGAUUAAGGAUCUUGAGAUGGGAAGCAUAUCCUGGAUUAUCCUGAUUGAUUUUUCAGAGAAUACAAAUUCAGACUCUUAGCAGGGAGCCCCUAUUCAGCUGAGGACAAGGAAGCAGGGAGCCAUGAUUGGAAGAAACACCAUUGAUGCAGCUGGGUCUUCCAAGUCAGCCAGGAGCCACUGUCCACCUGCCAGCCUAGAUCUGCACAGAGCAGCCCACAGGCCAGGCCACCGCCUUCUGACUUCACAGGGCCAAUUAGACAGCUGCCUCUCUGCAGCCACUUCCUGCAAGCGCUCCCACACAGAAGCAUUUCACUGGUUAAAAAGAAGUGCCAGUUUCUUUGAAAGGGUAAAUUAAAGUGUAAAUACAUGCAUCACCCCUGCAGGAC
rnacentral:lncRNA from 1 species